GACGAACGCUGGCGGCGUGCCUAACACAUGCAAGUCGAACGAGGUCCAUGAGAGCUUGCUCUCAGAAGACCUAGUGGCGAACGGGUGAGUAACACGUGAGAAACCUGCCUCGGAGUGGGGAAUAACUCGGGGAAACUCGAGCUAAUACCGCAUAUCUUCACAUGAUCGCAUGGUCGAGUGAAGAAAGAAUUUCGCUCUGAGAGGGUCUCGCGGCCUAUCAGCUUGUUGGUGGGGUAACGGCCCACCAAAGGCAACGACGGGUAGCUGGUUUUGAGAGAACGAUCAGCCACACUGGGACUGAGACACGGCCCAGACUCCUACGGGAGGCAGCAGUGGGGAAUC
rnacentral:rRNA from 1 species